AGAAACUCUUGGAAUGGUAGAGGUUGGAAAGGACCUCAAGAGAUCAUCUGGUCCAACUCCCUGCUCAAGCAGAAAUGUGUACAUCUGGUUGCCUAGGGCCAUGCCCAGUUUAACUGGAAUAACUGCUCUCUACCCUGGAGUACACUCUGAAAGGAAGGAAGUCUUACCAAAUGGUGAAAUUUUGAAGCUCUGCUACUGUCAUUACAGAGUACAGAAUGAAUUACAGGUUAUGAAAUGAAGAUCAAACUACUAUUAGCCCAGAUUAUGGAGAGUUUUUUUUAUGGUCAGUGAAGAGUGAACUAAACCUAGAUAAAGAAAGAAGCUGCUCAGUAAUUUCACAUGACAUAAUGUAAAUGUAUUCAUGAAGUAAAGUGAGUCUCUCUCAGCUCGUGUUGAUUGUGCUCAUAGAGGUGUUUGCCAGUCUGUUGAACACAUUCUGCAGUUACUAUUUUUUUUAAACAGACAGAAUGAAAACAGAAGACCAUAAAAAGAAAGACUUGAAGCAUUUUGUCUGUUUCUGAAUCUUUAUCUCCUACACACAAUAAACAUGUUCAUUCCAACAGACAAUGUGCAGCUAAAUCCCCUGUGCUAUUUGAAAAUUUCAAGAGAUAAUUUUGUAAAACAUCAUUUAUGUUCUGGCCUGCUACAGUGCUCCUCCCCAGCCAUUAUCUUCAGAAAGCAGUUGGUAAAAUACUGAAAUAAAUUACA